AACGAACGCUGGCGGCGUGGAUAAGACAUGCAAGUCGAGCGCUGAUUAGAGGGUAGCAAUAUUCUUUAGUUGGAGCGGCGCAAGGGUGCGUAACACGUGGGUAAUCUGCCGUGAAGUUUGGGAUAACUUGCUGAAAGGCGAGCUAAUACCGGAUGUGACAAUUGGAAGGCAUCUUUUGAUUGUCAAAGUUGGGGACCGCAAGGCCUGACGCUUCAUGANGAACCCGCGGCCUAUCAGCUAGUUGGUGAGGUAAAGGCUCACCAAGGCUAAGACGGGUAGCUGGUCUGAGAGGACGACCAGCCACACUGGAACUGAGACACGGUCCAGACACCUACGGGUGGCAGCAGUCGAGUAAUUUUUCACAAUGGGCGCAAGCCUGAUGGAGCGACGCCGC
rnacentral:rRNA from 1 species